rnacentral:rRNA from 1 species
AACGCCGCGUGAGUGAAGAAGGUCUUAGGAUUGUAAAGCUCUGUCCUUAGGGAAGAACCGUGGAUGCAGGUAAUGGCAUCCAUCUGACGGUACCUUUGGAGGAAGCACUGGCUAACUACGUGCCAGCACCCGCGGUGACUGAGCGGGCUGGCAAGGCGCAUA